GGGCUUUUUUUUAAACCUAGGGCCCAAGGCAAAGAUGACAGCGGCCCUGCCCUACGGAGACGGUUGACACGCAUGCUCAUUUAGGUGAGACCGACUUCAUCCCAGGAAACUUUUCGGCGGGACAGUACAGUAGUCUAGUAACGAACCUGGACUCGAUCUACUACUGAACUAGGAUAUUGUGCUGUGUAAAUAAUUUGCAUUGAGGAGAGUCCAUCAGCUCACUAACACGGGUGAGGGACAGGGACCAAAGAGGAGGCUCUACAACAUGAGGAAAGACGGCGAUCCUCAAGCAGUCAGUCCAUGAGCCCACGUCUUCAGGUCAGGGGCCCGAGAGGAAUUUCCAGUGACAUGGAUCAACAGAGAUCCUCAAACAGUCAGUCCAUGUGCCACGUUCCAGCCAGGGACCAAAAGGGGGACUUUCGUCAUGGGGCCAGACAGACAUCCUCAAGCAGUAAGUUGAUUUACAUGGAUGCAUUCUGAAGUUGAAUUGAAGUAGUUAUAUUGUUGUACGCUGGCUACUAUUCAAUGUGUCAAAGUGAAAUGUAUUAAUUGUUGUCCCAUGAAAAAAUGAACUGUAUCAAAUCUCAAUGUAUCGUUCCAGGGAUAAGAGUUCAAGAAUGUUGUUGCAGGUGAAAUGAUCAUUGAAAUUUGCUGAUUCAGUGCCAUUUUUGUAUCUUUACUGCAGUGCAUCCAGGCCACCCACUAGGAGGUGGAAAAUCGUACGAAGAGGUGGCUGUACCUGGCAGCAGACUGAGAUGGGGUGAGGAAGAGAAGCACAGACCAAGAACGGAAUGUCAGACAUUUGCCCUUUUUUAUGCCCAGCACACACAGACACACACACACACACACACCAGCAUAUAAACAUGCACAUAGACACAGGCGCACGUGCACACACAUACACAGACUCUCAAACAAGAUGAGUCUCUGGUGAUGUUGGCAAAUAAUCUGAAUCGAUACACACGGCAAUGAUUCCACCAUGGUGCCCCACCUACGCGAGUCCUGUCCUUCAGCAUUGACUUUCUCCCCAGGUGUGGUGUGCCUUCAUCCGAACCACAAUGGCAUCCCAAGCAGCAACAAAUACCUGCACGCAUGCAUGCUACGGUACACACACAAACACACUGGACUGUGAACUAGGUCAGACACACACACAUGCUCAAAGUAGCCAAGAUCGAAAAGGCUGCAUCGGUGGCUUGACUGCAUCCAUUUUUUGGAGGAACACCUUUGUCAAUUUGGAGGAACUUUGUUGUGGGAAGAUAUUUUAAAAUGUUGAUAGUCAGACUCUUGUAUACCCAUUCGCUUCACUUUGAUGUAUUUUGUAAUUGAGAUGAUUUAUGCCACAGUGCUGAAUUAACACAUCAUGACAAAGAUGUCGCCUUAAAAGGUAUGUUUGGUACCUGUGGGUCAAAUGUCUCAGGAGCUCCCUGACUGCAGAACGUCUCAGGAAAGGACUCAACUUUUUAUAUUGUAUGCCGGGUGCGAUUUGUCAGAAAACCAGAAAGGGGGAUGUGUUUCAGAUGUCAACAAUAUCAAUGGAGUUACAUUAAACUAUGAUUAAAAUCAUGUGGAAAAAGU